AAUGAACGCUGGCGGCAGGCCUAACACAUGCAAGUCGAACGGAUCCUUCGGGAUUAGUGGCGGACGGGUGAGUAACGCGUGGGAACAUACCCAAAGGUACGGAAUAGCCUCGGGAAACUGAGAGUAAUACCGUAUGUGCCCCUCGGGGGAAAGAUUUAUCGCCUUUGGAUUAGCCCGCGUUGGAUUAGGUAGUUGGUGGGGUAAUGGCCUACCAAGCCGACGAUCCAUAGCUGGUUUGAGAGGAUGAUCAGCAACACUGGGACUGAGACACGGCCCAGACUCCUACGGGAGGCAGCAGUGGGGAAUCUUAGACAAUGGGGGAAACCCUGAUCUAGCCAUGCCGCGUGGACGAUGAAGGCCUUAGGGUUGUAAAGUCCUUUCAGCUGGGAAGAUAAUGACAGUACCAGCAGAAGAAGCCCCGGCUAACUCCGUGCCAGCCGCCGCAGUAA
rnacentral:rRNA from 1 species